UGUGAGAGUGGGGUGACCGUGACAUCCCGGACGAGCCCCCAAGAUGAAAGACCCCCGACUCAAAUAGCCGGUGACCCUUCAGUCCAAGGAGAGUCACGGCAACCCCAAUCGACCACAAGAG
ensembl:miRNA